GGAGAGAGUCUGUGAGUGGACCUGGAGAGAGUUCAGCAGGUGGAGGCUCUGCUAUGGAUCAGUGUGAGGACCGAGAGGAGGGAGCCCCCCCCUCUAAAAGCUCUCUGUGUGGGGAACAUGACCACCAGACCAAAGCUCAGAGCCCAGAGCAAACACCAC